CUCAGAUCACUACACUAUCCAGCACGGUUUCCUAUUGGCACGAAGUAUAUCUAUUCGAUUGAUUCCUCUGGCCAACCAAUCAAGAUUCAGUCAAAGGAAUUUGUGUUCGGAAUACGUUGGCCCAACAGAACCGUACUAGAUGGAUGCUUAGGCGAGCGACUUAAUGUUUGGGAUGCCAAGGUUCCAGCAUCUCCUGUUGCUUAUGCUUGUGGUGGAGGACGAGUGGAUAUUCUAUCGUACAGCGACGCAGUGUUUAUUGAGGCGGUGCCCGGACCGUCAUAUAGGG